UACGUUUCGGAGUAUAACUCCAUCUUCAGGUUAAAAAGUAACUAAAGAUAUCAUAUCUUUAGUUACUUUUUAACCUGAAGAUGGAGUUAUACUCCGAAACGUA